GAGGACAGGUGUGGCAGAGGGUGGGGCAUGGAUUGUUCUAGCAGACUGGAUGUAACAGAAGGCACAGAGCAGGAGUGGAGGCUGCCCAGAAGCCUGGAUUUGGUGGAUUUUUGAGACCUCAAUUAUGACCACUACACAUCAUUGCAAGGCAAUCUUUAACAGAAACGACAAGAUACCAAGAAAACCUCUGAAAGUGAUCAGAAGUGCUGUGUCCACUGCUUAGAAGUCAGGGACUACUAUUUUACCACCAUUUAUUUCCACGUCUCCAGAAGACCCAAGCUUCCUAGGAAUUGAACCAGUUUGCCAUUACAAGCAUUACUAGAAGCAGACCAAACAGCAGGAUGGCAUGCGGUGGGCCAUCCAGCUGUGCUGUGUACAGGAUGACAUGCAGUGCGCCAUCCAGCUGUGCUGUGUCAAGAAUCCUCAGGUGUGGACACAGUGCUCACAUCUUCAUGGGACUCAGCACUUGCGAGGUGGAAGCAUGAGGCUCAGAAGUUCAAGUUCAUCCUCAACUAUAUAAUGAAUCCAAGGCCAACCUGAGAUACACCAGAUGGUGUCAAACAAAAUAAAGAAUGAACUAUAA